CCGGUAACUCGGUGACUCGGCCGAGUUGACUCAGCGAGUCAAGCCGUUGACCAGUCAAGCCGGUUCGGUUAGUCAAUUGAUUUUAUUAUUGAUUAAACCGAUCGGUUAUUGGGAAUUAGUUUGGUUUGGAUUAAACCGAGUUGAAAUCAAUUUUAAUCUGGUCCAAUUGAAAUUGAAUCCAGUUAAGGAAAACCGAUGGUUCAAUUCGAUUUCAAUUUGUUCAAGGGUUGACCGGCUUGGGUCAGAGUAGACCGGGUUGACCUUUGACCAGCGGGUUGACUUUUUGACCAGAUCGCCGGUUACCCGUUUUGGACCGUUCGAAGGGCGUUCUGACUUGAUUUUUCGCCCUGAUUUCAGAUUUGGAGUUUGUUUGAGCAGCUGGAGUUCAUAGCUAUCACUUUUCCACAUUGCUAAGGUGAGGGUCUAUUCCGUAAAUCCCGUACCAGUGUAGAAUUCUCCCUAUCGUAGUUUAGAUUUUGAAUCAUGAUCCGUCUGUUUGAAUUGAGUCUUGAUUGUUAGUUAGUUCAUUCAUUGUAAACUGGAACUAGGGGUCUAGAGGAUUCAACCUUUGAUUGGAUUGUGUGAUGUUAAGAGAUGCGAUAUAUAUAUAUAUGUGUGUAUACAUAGUUAUUAGUAGGGACUAUGUGCGCGGGCGCGGGCUCAGCGAUGUCUAGGCUAGCGACACUACUUUGGUUGUGUGGGCAGGAGUUCAGAGACGUCUGUACUUGCGAUGCUACUUGUGCGGGCGUGUGGUGCAGAGACGUUUGUAUCAUGGACGCUACUUGAAAGGGUGGGGGUACAGAGACAUAUUGUACUAGCGACGCUACGUAUUAUAUAUCCAUAUGAGGAGAUGUGGGGUGUAUGGACUAGCUUUAUGCUAUCAUCGCAUUGUUUGGUUUGUGUGACGUGCUAGGCGUCGUGUGUGUUCAUGUUAGAGCUAAACUUCCAUAGUGGGAGUUCUAUUUACUCAAGUCAGUGGUUUGCGUGUUUAGCAUCCCCAUACCUCACGGAGUAACUUCCCUGUUACUCACCCCUCCUAUUCCUUUCCCCUUUCAGGUGAGACUGACGAGCAGGAGUGAUUGCUAUCGGAUUGGUGCUUUGGGAGUUCUAUUUCUUUUAUUUUCAGACUUUCGAUUUUAUGAUUUUAUCGAUAUUUCGGGAUUUAGCUAUUUUAUUGCAUUUAUGGUUAUUUAUUGGAUUUAUGACUUUGGAGUUGACUUUUGAGAAGUAAUAAAUGGAGAUUUCAGACUUUUUAUUUAUUUAAGUUAUU
rnacentral:lncRNA from 1 species